rnacentral:rRNA from 1 species
UACGGGGGGGGCAAGCGUUGUUCGGAAUUACUGGGCGUAAAGGGCUCGUAGGCGGCCAACUAAGUCAGACGUGAAAUCCCUCGGCUUAACCGGGGAACUGCGUCUGAUACUGGAUGGCUUGAGUUUGGGAGAGGGAUGCGGAAUUCCAGGUGUAGCGGUGAAAUGCGUAGAUAUCAGGAGGAACACCGGUGGCGAAGGCGGCAUCCUGGACCAUGACUGACGCUGAGGAGCGAAAGCCAGGGGAGCAAACGGG